rnacentral:rRNA from 1 species
UACGUAGGGGGCAAGCGUUGUCCGGAAUCAUUGGGCGUAAAGCGCGUGUAGGCGGCUCGGUAAGUCCGCUGUGAAAGCCCGGGGCUCAACCCCGGGAGGCGGGUGGAUACUGCUGAGCUCGAGUCCGGAAGAGGAGUGUGGAAUUCCUGGUGUAGCGGUGAAAUGCGCAGAUAUCAGGAGGAACACCAAUGGCGAAGGCAGCUCUCUGGGACGGUACUGACGCUGAGACGCGAAAGCGUAGGGAGCAAACAGG